CAAUAAAAUUCUGCAAUUGCUGCUCUCAAUAGCCCAUGUUCAUAUUCUGUGUGUAAUAAAAUUCACUAAAAUGCUCAAUACUAAAAUAAAACACAGAGGUCUAAAAUCAAGCUUCUAUCGCUGUCCAUCAGGAAACCUCAUGGUUUCCCAUAAAUCCCAGAAUUCACGGACUGCACCUGAAUCAGCGAUGGAAAGAUCAAUCACAGCUGUAACACACCCCCAUCAGCCUCAGCAGAGAAUAAUCCACUCACCAACAUGGGUGAUGAUACAGUCCACCCUCUGCUGUAGUUCCAGUAGAGACAUCUCCUCUUCCUCCUCCAGCCUGCAGAGCAUCUCAGGGUGUGAACAGUGUCCUCUCUCCUCUCCUCUCUCUCCUCUCUCUUCCUCUCCUCUCCUCUCCUCUCCUCUCCUCUCCUCUUCUCCUCUCCAGCUCACCAGAGGGCUUCCCCACUCUACUCUCACAAAGAUAGCAGCCACUCCCAGCCCUUGAUGGAGAUCUCCGAUGGAAGACAAGGGAGAAGCUGGUGACACCGGCAGAUGAAUCCGGCUCUUUUGUUCUACAGUGUGGAGGUGCAGAGAAGCUUAUGUGAUGUUUAUCAUUCAUCUCAGCCCCUGAGUGAUGCUGGCUGGACUCUACCGCCUCUCAAACCAGCUCUAUGGCUUCUAUUCUAAAGACUGUGUCAGGCACCAGGAAGAGAAUCGGAGGGAGGCAACAGUACCUGCCUUCAGAGAGACAUAAAGCUCCUUUUACACAAAACCUGGAACAAUGGAUUCAGUGGAAUGGAGCCUUGUGCAUACAACCUGAGCUGCAUCAUGACUGAGCUGGGCUCUUUUCCACGUUUUGAUGUGAGCUGAUGGGCUGUUAUCAUCUUACUUGACACUGCCCUUGGGAGCCAGAUCAUCAGCUUGGGAACGUUCGGUGAUGAGAUGCCAUCUGUGCUCCUGCCAUAACAUGUGGUGAUGUUGGUCCACUUCCUGACAAGAGCGAUGACGCGUGUGCUGCAGCGCCUCCUGCUGGACACAUUAGCAUGACGUUCACGCAGCAAACACGCCAUCUAUUGGACACACGGGGCAGACGCCUGGGCCUAUUGACGCCUAAGAUGGGAUAAUUCUAUCAUUUUAUUGGAGAAGUAUAGUUUAAAUUUGUAGCGUACAUGAAGGACAGGCCUACAACAAGCCCACAUCUACGAAUGUCCAUGCUUUCUAAUACCGUAAAUGAAGAAAAUAAUAGCUUUUAUCAGUGUAAAUGAAUGGAUAAAUGAUUAAAAUAAAAAUAAAAAUCAAUAAAAUAAAAUAAGCAGUCACUGAAGCGGUCUGCUUUUUAAGCUGGUUUAUGAUCCUCUAAGGAUGAGGUGGUUUGUGUUGUAUCACUAACCUUAAGAUGGUCACCUUCAGCGGACUUCAUUGAGAAACUUAUCAAUAUUCAGUCAGACCCAGAACAAAGACAUGAGGAACUUCCUUCUAGAGUUAUUUUGCAACGUCAUCAAUCCUAAAUUACUAAGAGCUGGACUUCAGGAUACAUCCCUUAUACACAUGGGCAUUUGAAUAACUUGUUAAUUAUGUGUUAAACUUACCUUUCAAUAGCAUGCCAUUUUAGGGACUGAUAAAAUAUUCCUUGUAUAUAGUAAAUGUAAAAAUAUUGCAAAAACACACUUAAGCGUCAGUUUAUUUGCAGUCACAU